rnacentral:rRNA from 1 species
AUAAAGUUUGAUUCUUGUUUAUUUAUUUAAUAUUUGAAUAAAUUAUAUGUUAGUUUAUGUAAUACUAAAUGUUCUUUAUACAGUAAUUUGAAUUAUUAAUCAAGUUAUUUUGGAAUUAGUAAUUUUUUUAAUAUUGUCUUAUUUCGUGCCAGCAGUCGCGGUUAUACGAUUGAUGUAAUUAAAUAUUAUUGGUUUACAGUUUAUUAAUUAUAUUGGAUAAAAUUUUAUUAUUUUAGGGUGAAAUCUAAAUUUUAUAAAUUUCUUUAUUAUGAGGCUGGUUAAAUUUAAUUAUUAAACUAGGAUUAGAUACCCUAUUAUUUUAAAUUCGGUUUAUAAAAUCAGAGUAGUAUUAGUUAUAUUCUUAAAACUCAAAGAAUUUGGCGGUACUUUAUCUAUUUAGAGGAACCUGUUCUGUAAUUGAUGGUUCACGAUUAACUUAACUUAAUCUAUUUGCUUGUAUAUCUCCGUUAUCAGAAAAUUUUUUGAGAAAAUAAUUUUCUUUAAAUAUAAUUACAUUCUAUUUCAGGUCAAGAUACAGCUUAUGUUUAAGUAGAGAUGGGUUACAUUAAUAUAUUAAUUAUUCGGACAUUAUUUAUAAUAUAUAAUAUAAAGUUGGAUUUAAUAGUAAAUUAAAUCAUUUUAUUUUUUUGAUUAAGCUCUAAAGUGUGUACAUAUCGCCCGUCGCUUUCAUUUAUUAGGUAAAUAAUUUUAUAUUUUAGAUGAGAUAAGUCGUAACAUAGUAGGUGUACCGGAAGGUGUCCCUAGAUUA